GCGCGCGGCCUUUCACGCCGGGAUCCGGGUCCCGGUGCUUCUCGGUUCAUUCCCAGCUGGGUCCGGGCCCGGCCAGACUGGGUGGAAAUCUGGCUGACCUUGGUGGUCUGUCUUGGCCAGCUGGAGCAAAGGGAUGCCAGGGGACGGGUCUCGGUGCAGUGACUGCCAUUAGCUUGGGGCCGCAGAAAGUUUCUCCCCUUUCUCGGGCUCCUGCCAGGCCCUUGGCUUUCAGAGCCAGGCCCGAUUUCUAGAUAACAUUUAAGUUUGCAGAAAAGGGGAUGCCAAGUCACGGUGGUCACGGCUGUGGGAUGCAGCCUCUGAGAUUUGUAUUAAUUUUUGUGAGCCGGGGAAAGGCCUUGCUGCUUUCUCCGCCAGGACUGAUGUGUCUUCCCAAGAUGAAAGUGCCUGAAGAGAAGACAGAACAGAAAUUUGUAUCCUGCUACAAUUACAGUGUUAUCAAACUAUAGUCCUAUAUGGAUGAGGACUGAAGGAGGAAUGCUGAGACUGUUGAGGGUUUUAAAAUUUUUAUUUCCUUUCCUGUUAUGUUCCAAAAAGAUACACAUCAAGAAUGGGAGGAACGAACUUUUAAUUUAUUUUCUCAGUUUCCGGAUGCUCUAUCUUCUUUUUCAAAUUAUAAAAAUUCUCUUUUUUAAAUACAAGCUGACUGGGUUGUCCCUGAAACACAUUAGCUCAAGCUUCUGACCUUUGGAAAGCAAAUCAGAGACUAUGUUGCGAAAGAAUUGUAAUCAGCCUCGGUGACUGUGAGAGUUAUUUAGGACACAGCCUCUUGCUCAGUUACAGCUCCAGCCUAGGGCCAGCAGGGCACUGGGACAUGCUGGCAGCCACUGCAUACUGGGCACCGGAAGGAGGAUCUGCAGCAAGCUGGGACGUGGAAGGAAGCCACAGGACUUCCUCUGCAAGCUCUGCCAAGCCAAACGAGUAUUAUCUGCCCUCGAGUUUGUUUUUGCCAUGGCUAAACACGGACUGCAAGUUGAACGUAAUCCAAGCAGAUCAUUUCCCUGCAAUUUUAAAAAGCAACGUAAAUCCUAGACUUGACAUGGUUCAAAUCAGCUGGAGCAGGGCAUCUCAGGGAGUAAGAGAGACUUGGGCUACUUCUAAUUUUGUUUAUUGAUAUGAAGAAAUAGUAAAUACAACUUAAAAAUUUUG
ensembl:lncRNA novel transcript